rnacentral:misc_RNA from 1 species
UAACUCGCUCAAUAAGUUCACUGUUAUGGAAAGAUUCAUCGUGUGGAAUCUCAAAACCAAGCAAACCUAACUGACCGUUACUCAAUUAUAUGAAAUCCAAUUAACUUCGUUCCCAGUGCUUGUGCGUGAAAUAAUCUUCAAACGCUAGCGAAAUAAAAACAUUACCCAGUGGCCUAACAAGGUGGAACGGAAGAAUUGGUCGCCACCUGACGAAGAAACAGAACCGAUUCGAUCCAUGACGCGAUUCGCUGUACCUUGCGUGGAUGGUAUGGAAACGUAGGCUCGCCGGAAGCCGAUAAGGGAGGAAAAAGCACGUUCAAUCUCUCAACCUGCUGCCGCGCAGGAUUUUUCGUGGCUCGCAACGACCCGCUGACCACUCUCCUCACUUGAUAUCCGAUAACGUCCACGAAGGUCCUUAUUAUACCCAGCAGGACACAGCCUCUCCUUCUCACGACUUUUACGGAUUCUCUCCCGGACCCGGGAAUAUCCGCUUUCUGAUCAAACGUUCGUUUGGCCACGAGAGUACGUCGAAGAGAAAGGAACAAGGUAUAUACCGUCGAGUGUAAUUUUGAGACAAAAAUAGAAUAUAAAGUAUAAAGGUAUAUGGAUUUUAGGUAUAAAGUAUUUUAGAAA